ACGGGGAGCACCUCAACAGGUGGAGCCUGCGGUUUAAUCGGACUCAACGCCGGGAAACUCACCAGAUAAGACAGCUGAAUGAUAGUCGGGCUGAAGACUCUACUUGACUAGCUGAGAGGAGGUGCAUGACCGUCGUCAGUUCGUACUGUGAAGCAUCCUGUUAAGUCAGGCAACGAGCGAGACCCACGCCAACAGUUGCCAGCUCGUCCUCCGGGAUGGUGGGGACACUGUUGGGACCGCCUCUGCUAAAGAGGAGGAAGGAAUGGGCAACGGUAGGUCAGCAUGCCCCGAAUUAUCUGGGCUACACGCGGGCUACAGUGGGUGGGACAAUGGGUAUCGACACCGAAAGGUGAAGGCAAUCUCCUAAACCCAUCCGUAGUUCGGAUUGUGGGCUGCAACUCGCCCACAUGAAGCUGGAAUCUGUAGUAAUCGUGUUUCAAAAUAGCACGGUGAAUAUGUCCCUGCUCCUU
rnacentral:rRNA from 1 species